rnacentral:rRNA from 1 species
GUGGGGAAUAUUGGACAAUGGGCGAAAGCCUGAUCCAGCCAUGCCGCGUGUGUGAAGAAGGUCUUCGGAUUGUAAAGCACUUUAAGUUGGGAGGAAGGGCAGUAAGUUAAUACCUUGCUGUUUUGACGUUACCGACAGAAUAAGCACCGGCUAACUUCGUGCCAGCAGCCGCGGUAAUACGAAGGGUGCAAGCGUUAAUCGGAAUUACUGGGCGUAAAGCGCGCGUAGGUGGUUUUGUAAGUUGGAGGUGAAAUCCCCGGGCUCAACCUGGGAACUGCCUCCAAAACUGCAUGACUAGAGUACGGUAGAGGAUAGUGGAAUUUCCUGUGUAGCGGUGAAAUGCGUAGAUAUAGGAAGGAACACCAGUGGCGAAGGCGACUACCUGGACUGAUACUGACACUGAGGUGCGAAAGCGUGGGGAGCAAACAGGAUUAGAAACCCCAGUAGUCC